AGCGAACGCUGGCGGCAGGCCUAACACAUGCAAGUCGAACGAACCCUUCGGGGUUAGUGGCGGACGGGUGAGUAACACGUGGGAACGUACCUUUAGGUUCGGAACAACACAGGGGAAACUUGUGCUAAUGCCGAAUGUGCCCUUCGGGGGAAAGAUUUAUCGCCUUUAGAGCGGCCCGCGUCUGAUUAGCUUGUUGGUGAGGUAAAGGCUCACCAAGGCUUCGAUCAGUAGCUGGUCUGAAGAGGAUGAUCAGCCACACUGGGACUGAGACACGGCCCAGACUCCUACGGGAGGCAGCAGUGGGAAUCUUGCGCAAUGGGCGAAAGCCUGACGCAGCCAUGCCGCGUGAAUGAUGAAGGUCUUAGGAUUGUAAAAUUCUUUCACCGGGGAAGAUAAUGACGGUACCCGGAGAAGAAGCCCCGGCUAACUUCGUGCCAGCAGCCGCGGU
rnacentral:rRNA from 1 species